UACGUAGGGUGCGAGCGUUAAUCGGAAUUACUGGGCGUAAAGCGUGCGCAGGCGGCUUUGCAAGACAGAUGUGAAAGCCCCGGGCUCAACCUGGGAAUUGCAUUUGAAACUGGAAAACUAGAGUGUGUGAGAGGGGGGUAGAAUUCCAAGUGUAGCGGUGAAAUGCGUAGAUAUGCGGAGGAACACCAAUGGCGAAGGCAAUCCCCUGGGCCUGUACUGACGCUCAUGCACGAAAGCGUGGGGAGCAAACAGG
rnacentral:rRNA from 1 species